CACCAGGUUGAUUCUGCCUGACGUGGACGCUAGUCUCACAGAUUUAGCCAUGCAUGUGUAAGCGAAGCUUAUAGUGGAGCGGUAUACGGCUCAGUAACGGGCGAUUUAUUUGUUCUCCUGGGACGGACAACAUCGGGAAACUGAUGGGAAAACGUCUAAGUUGCAGUUAAUUGACUGUGACGUAAACUUUCGUGUGCAGGAGAGUAAGAUGCCAUCCUAUCAGUUAGUAAGUAGGGUAAGGGCCUACUUAGACGAAGACGGGUACGGGGAAUGAGGGUUUGAUUCCGGAGAGGGAGCCUGAGAGAUGGCUACCAGGACCAAGGUCAGCAGCAGGCGCGAAAAUUAUCGAAGCCCGCCUAGGGGCGAUAGUGAGGAGACGUGUAUAACGAAGUACGUGUAAAGAACGUGCUAAUAACUGGAGGUCAAGUCUGGUGCCAGCAUCCGCGGUAAUUCCAGCUCCAGGGGUGUCUAUGAUGAUUGCUGCGAUUAAAAAGUCCGUAGUCAAUCUGACUGACUGACCUGCAAUGUGAUUGAUUAAAGAACGAGCAGGGUUAGGAAAGCAGAGAAUUAGGAGCGACCGAGGGCUAGAGUAUUGAAUGGCGAGAGGUGAAAUUUGAUGACCCAUUCAGGAGUGACAAAGGCGAAGGCACUAGUCAAGGGCGAAUCCGAUGAUCAAGGACGUAGGCUAGAGUUUCGAAAACGAUUAGAGACCGGAGUAGUUCUAGCAGUAAACUAUGCCGACGCCGUGGUAUCAAUAAUGGUAUUGCGGAAGAGAAAUCAAGUAAGGCUUUGGGGAGAGUACGCGCGCAAGCGAUAAAUUUAAAGGAAAUU
rnacentral:rRNA from 1 species